rnacentral:rRNA from 1 species
UAUAGAGGUCUCAAGCGUUGUUCGGAUUCAUUGGGCGUAAAGGGUGUGUAGGUGGCGCGCUAAGUCGGGUGUGAAAUUUCGGAGCUUAACUCCGAAACUGCAUUCGAUACUGGCGUGCUUGAGGACUGGAGAGGAGACUGGAAUUCAUGGUGUAGCGGUGAAAUGCGCAGAUAUCAGGAGGAACACCGGUGGCGAAGGCGGGUCUCUGGGCCGAUACUGACGCUGAGGAGCGAAAGCGUGGGGAGCGAACAGG